rnacentral:rRNA from 1 species
AAAGAGGAUUCGUCCAAUUGAAAUAGAGGACAGUGGCGGACGGGUGAGUAACGCGUGAGGAACCUGCCUUUCAGAGGGGGACAACAGUUGGAAACGACUGCUAAUACCGCAUAACGCGUAGAGGUCGCAUGGCCUUUACGCCAAAGAUUUAUCGCUGAAAGAUGGCCUCGCGUCUGAUUAGCUAGUUGGUGAGGUAACGGCUCACCAAGUCGACGAUCGGUAGCCGGACUGAGAGGUUGAACGGCCACAUUGGGACUGAGACACGGUCCAAACUCC